CGCCUGGGGAGUGCGGCCGCAAGGCUAAAACUCAAAGGAAUUGACGGGGCCCCGCACAAGCGGCGGAGCAUGCGGAUUAAUUCGAUGCAACGCGUAGAACCUUACCUGGGUUUGACAUGGAUCGGGAGUGCUCAGAGAUGGGUGUGCCUCUUUUGGGGUCGGUUCACAGGUGGUGCAUGGCUGUCGUCAGCUCGUGUCGUGAGAUGUUGGGUUAAGUCCCGCAACGAGCGCAACCCUUGUUCACUGUUGCCAGCACGUUAUGGUGGGGACUCAGUGGAGACCGCCGGGGUCAACUCGGAGGAAGGUGGGGAUGACGUCAAGUCAUCAUGCCCCUUAUAUCCAGGGCUUCACGCAUGCUACAAUGGCUGGUACAGAGAGUGGCGAGCCUGUGAGGGUGAGCGAAUCUCGGAAAGCCGGUCUCAGUUCGGAUUGGGGUCUGCAACUCGACCUCAUGAAGUCGGAGUCGCUAGUAAUCGCAGAUCAGCAACGCUGCGGUGAAUACGUUCCCGGGGCUUGUACACACCGCCCGUCAAGUCAUGAAAGUUGGUAACACCCGAAGCCGGUGGCCUAACCGUUGUGGGGGAGCCGUCGAAGGUGGGACUGGUGAUUAGGACUAAGUCGUAACAAGGUAACCGUA
rnacentral:rRNA from 1 species